GGUGCGGCUCCGAGCCUGUGCACACCCCGCAGUCCUUGGACGAGGUCGCCUGCGCCCGGGUCCGGCGGAUGCAGCGCUCGCGGGUCAUGGCUCUCGCAGUCCGAGUCGUUUAUUGUGGCGCUUGAGGCUACAAGCCCAAGUAUCUUCAGCUCAAGCAGAAGCUAGAAGAUGAGUUCCCCGGACGCCUGGACAUCUGUGGCGAGGGGACCCCCCAGGUUACUGGGUUCUUUGAAGUAACGGUAGCAGGGAAGUUGGUUCACUCUAAGAAGGGAGGCGAUGGCUUCGUGGACACAGAGAGCAAGUUCCUGAAGCUGGUGGCCGCCAUCAAAUCCGCCUUGGCUCAGGCGAAUGUGCCCUGAGGCAGAGUGGUGACCUUGGCCCAGCCCCUCUCGGCAGACGCUUCAUGAUGGGAUGGACUGAAAUGCCUCUUGGAUGCCGGGUCUGUCCCUGAUGUUCUGCGGCUGUCGGGCGGGACCAAGAUGACUGUCCCUUGUCUUUGCCUGUGUGUGUGUGUGUCUCCCCGAGAUCCAGUUUUACACAAUGGCCCUUCCCCCUCCCCCCUUCCUCCAUCCCUCUCCCUGCAGUCCCCCAUGUCUCCCUGUCUCCCCUCUGGUGUUUGGGGUGGUCCAGCUCCAGGUUCCUUCCCCAGGAGGAGCCGAGAGAGGGAUCCUGAGGUGUGAGUCUCAUGUCUCAGCCACGUUUGCCGCGGUUCACAGCUCAAUAAAUACUGAACGAGUCUAACAGA